UACGGAGGAUCCAAGCGUUGUCCGGAUUUAUUGGGUUUAAAGGGUCCGUAGGCGGGUGCGUAAGUCAGUGGUGAAAGUCUGCAGCUUAACUGUAGAACUGCCAUUGAAACUGUUUUCCUUGAGUCAUUAUGAAGUGGUUAGAAUAUGUAGUGUAGCGGUGAAAUGCAUAGAUAUUACAUAGAAUACCGAUUGCGAAGGCAGAUCACUAAUAAUUCACUGACGCUGAUGGACGAAAGCGUAGGUAGCGAACAGG
rnacentral:misc_RNA from 1 species